AAAAUUAAAUAGAUAAAGCCGGAGACAGCAGGUGCUAAUAGCUUAAUACCCUGCCGAGGUUGUAAUUUUAACUAUCUGAAGUUUGAACAGUAAAACUGUGACAACGACAGUAUUAAAAAUACCACUUUGAAACCCUGGCUAAGUUAGCUGGGGUUAAUUGUUUUCGGU
rfam:Aphanizomenon flos-aquae 2012/KM/D3 mira_266_len:7039, whole genome shotgun sequence.